UCCUCCGCUUAUUGAUAUGCUUAAGUUCAGCGGGUAUCCCUACCUGAUCCGAGGUCAACCUUAAGAUGUGGGUUUCUAGAGGCAGGCAACUCAGUUUCUCUGAAGCGGGAAGUAUUACUAACGCUUGAGGCCCUGAGCCACCGCCGAACAGUUUGAGGCGCGACCCCCCGGUUAGGGGGGGUUGACACCCAAUGCCAAGCAGAGCUUGAUGGUUGAUAAUGACGCUCGAACAGGCAUGCCCUUCGGAAUACCAAAGGGCGCAAUGUGCGUUCAAAGAUUCGAUGAUUCACUGAAUUCUGCAAUUCACAUUACUUAUCGCAUUUCGCUGCGUUCUUCAUCGAUGCCAGAACCAAGAGAUCCGUUGUUAAUAGUUUUGAAGUUAUUAUUUUUAUUCUCAGAUAAACGGUGUUUAAAACAAGAGUUUUGGUUGUAGGCCAUCGGUGGGCGGGUUAACGCUAACGUGUAGGGCUAGGAAAACCACAAACCACACCGAGGCAACAGUGGUAAGGUAGACAAAGGGUUGGAGGUCGGGCGCCGAAGCACCCAGUCUCAGUAAUGAUCCUUCCGCAGGUUCACCUACGGA
rnacentral:misc_RNA from 1 species